rnacentral:rRNA from 1 species
UACGUAGGGGGCAAGCGUUAUCCGGAUUUACUGGGUGUAAAGGGAGCGCAGGCGGCGCGUUAAGCCUGGUGUGAAAGCCCGCGGCCCAACCGCGGGACUGCAUUGGGAACUGGCGCGCUGGAGUGCCGGAGGGGUAGGCGGAAUUCCUAGUGUAGCGGUGAAAUGCGUAGAUAUUAGGAGGAACACCAGUGGCGAAGGCGGCCUACUGGACGGUGACUGACGCUGAGGCUCGAAAGCGUGGGGAGCAAACAGG